AAGAGCUGACCAUGUUGGAGGGAGGGAUGGGAGUAUUACGUCAUAGAUCUGAAAGGGUGAGGGGGCUGUGGGAACGGUACUCCCAGCUGUGGGCUGAGGGGGGGCUAAUAGAGAGUUGAGACAAAGAUCUAGGGGUAACAAAGAGACCAAAGGAUGUAAUAAAAGACAAACAUCGGAUGUGUCAUGAAACAAACACAAAAAGGUUUAUAAAUCCUAUCUUGACGUAAGGUGGUCUGCUGAAAGGGUCUAAGGGUCAUAAAAGGUCAUAAAGCAAUAAAACUGUCUAAAGUUUGACAGAAGGUGAUGGUUUUUUUUUUCAGUUCUCUGAAAUGAUUAAAAAUGUCUUCUGUCCUGUUGUUGACACACAGGUUGUGUUGGUGGAGGCGAUGUGGAGCAGAUCCCCAUGCUGUGGGAACAUCAUGGUCAGGGUGCAACAAUAGAGUGCAGCCACACCAAGGAUGGUACCUAUUACCAGAUGUAUUGGUACCAGCAGCUGCCUGGGAAGACCAUGAAACAAAUAGUUUUCACUACUCCAAGUCCUCCUCACCAGUAUGAAACUGGUUUCAGUCAGGACAAAUUUCCAGCAGAGAAGAAGGACGCUCAGACUGGAUCUCUGACAGUGAAGAACCUGCAGCCUGAAGACAGUGGAGUGUAUUUCUGUGCUGUGAGUCAACACAGUGAUGCAGGUGGAUUCAAGAGCUGCACAAAAAACUCAGAGUUUUAA